ensembl:lncRNA
CACUGUUUUUAUGGAAAGGAUUCUUUACAACAAGUUUCCUUAUCACAGAUCAAAUUGCUUGCAAGAGAAAGCUUGCUGAUGGGGUCAGUGAGGAUUAUAAACCAAUAACGUGGACAUUAUAGCUACAAAUGGUGCCGUAUAUUUUGACUCUUCUCCAGAAUAUCCAGCAGUAACCGGAGGUUUAUUUUCAUUAUGCCUUCAUCUAAAAAUGUCAGCAGUGCUUUCUGUGUCAUCUUUUUUUGUUUAGAUAUAUCACUAGAGGGAGAGUAGUGAAAACAGUUCACACUAAGUAAAUGUUUAUGUGGGUGACCGUUUAUGUCAUUAUACUUUAUUUUAAAAUCUUUCUUCAAAGUUAAAUAAAAUAUCAAAUAGGCUGAUUAGAAAACAGUAUGUCAUUCUCAAUUUGCCUUUCCUUGUGGACAAAGGAUUUUUUUUCCCAUUGGACUCCAGCCUAAAAUGAAACAGCGCUAGAACAAAGGUCAAGAACUUGGAAGAAUUCAUUCGGGGGAACCAGCAUCAGUCAAACAUCAGGCUACAAACAAUGGCAUUUCAGAGUCAUGUACUGUAUUACUGACAGUUAUCUUUCUGUAAUAUACACAGGUUUUUGGAAUGCAACCCACACAGUAGUCACUAUUUCCCCAGCCAGGAUUGUUGAGCCCGCCAUUCACCACCCUAAGAAUGAUAAUAUGCUAACAGAGUGUGUGCAGCACUCACCAAAACCCUGAGAGAUGACAGUCACCGGUGGCUUCCCAGGACACUAAAUAGGAAGAAGUAGUGACAUGACUCAGUAACACCAAGAGCCACAUUGUGAGAGUUGAAAACUGCGUGGGGCAUGCAAUGAAAGCAGCGAAGCAGCAGGGGCAACACUAUCUAUGGACAAGGACAGUUAGAUUACAGAUUUAACACACACACAAAAUUACGCAGCAACAGCGAGAUGGCUGGAAACCUUGGAAAACCACCAACUGAACAGAACGUCAGUGUUUGGAGAGUCCUGUUUGGGAGCUGGCCACAGAUAGCGUGCAGUAAACUGUUGCCAGACGUGUUGCUUAUUGAUUUUUUCUGAAGAGCCCAUUUGAACUGGAUGUGCAUUCUGAAUCCCCAAUGAGAGUCCCAGCUGGAGGAGGCAAUUCUGGAGGCACUAUACAUAUUACACUUUAGGACUCCAGGGACCGGGAUAGGUUUUUACAAGCAGCUAAAAUGAAGAAAGAGAUCAUAUGGGAAGGUGCUAGGCUCCUAUCGUUUCCGGACAUAAGUCCUAUAACCCAGGGCAAAAGGGAAGAAUUAACUGUGGUUUUAAAAAAAAAAAAGUUGUGAUAUAAAAUGUGUCUGCAUGAGUCUCUCUAGCCUGCCAAACGGCACAUUGUGCACAGUGAGAAAACUGACAUCUUUCAGAAAGUAGACGCAGCUUACAACAAGUCACUGUCGAAAGCAAAGAAGACAAGAGAGAAACUGUAAGAAGUUAGUCAGAGACUAAGGCCUGUGAUUUACCGCCCACCCCAGGGCUUGGAGUGCUGAAACUCUCCCUAUAAAUUAUAAAUGUAUAUAAAUUAAUAAAUGAACACAGUCACCACUUCUGGGGACCA